rnacentral:rRNA from 1 species
GGUGAGUCGGGUCCUAAGGCGAGGCCGACAGGCGUAGUCGAAUGGAUGAACGGGUGGAUAUUCCCGUACCGACCAUGGACCGGCAAAACCGAGACGGUGAGUACUAACCUCCGCCUCGUGGUGGUUCCUUCCUUCGGGUUGGUUCCGCCGCGUGGUGUUGGGAGCGUAGCCGCAGUAGGUCAGCGCAGGGGUGACACGGAAUGGGAGCCGGCCGCGGAGGUGGUUUUCCGUGGUCAAGCACGCAGCCAGUCAUGUAGGCAAAUCCGCAUGGCGCGCAUGGCGAGGUGUGAUGAUGGGAGCCGUUAUGGCUCGAUAUCCGGUUGUCCAGGCCGUCGAGAAAAGCCUCGGCGUGAGGGCCAUGGCCGCCCGUACCCCAAACCGACACUGGUGGUCAGGUAGAGAAUACCAAGGCGAUCGAGCGAAUCCUGGUCAAGGAACUCGGCAAAUCACUCCCGUGCCUUCGGUAUAAGGGAGACCCGCUGGGGUGAACCGGCUAGCCCGGGGAGCUUUGGUGGGUGGCACAGACCAGGGGGUAGCGACUGUUUACCAAAAACACAGGUGCAUGCGAAGGCGAAAGCCGCUGUAUAUGCACUGACGCCUGCCCGGUGCCGGAAGGUUAAGAGGAUCCGUCAACUCUUCGGAGCGAAGCGGUGAAUUCAAGCCCCGGUAAACGGCGGUGGUAACUAUAACCAUCCUAAGGUAGCGAAAUUCCUUGUCGGGUAAGUUCCGACCUGCACGAAUGGCGUAACGACUUCCCCACUGUCUCGACCAGGAGCUCGGCGAAAUUGCAGUACGAGUAAAGAUGCUCGUUAAGCGCAGAAGGACGAAAAGACCCCGGGACCUUUACUAUACCUUGGUAUUGGCGUUAGGCGCGGAUUGUGUAGCAUAGGCGGGAGGCUUCGAAGCGGGUGCGCCAGCAUUCGUGGAGCCGCAAGGUGAAAUACCGCUCUGUUCUCGUUUGACGUCUAACCUCGACAAGUCAUCCUUGUCAGGGACAGUGCCUGGCGGGUAGUUCAACUGGGGCGGUUGCCUCCCAAAGAGUAACGGAGGCGCUCAAAGGUCCGCUCAGCCCGGUUGGCAAUCGGGUGUCGAGUGUAAUCGCACAAGCGGGCUUGACUGCGAGGACGACGGUCCGAGCAGGGACGAAAGUCGGAGAUAGUGAUCCGGUGCCGGCGCACGGGCGCGGCAUCGCUCAACGGAUAAAAGGUACCCCGGGGAUAACAGGCUGAUCAUUCCCAAGAGUCCAUAUCGACGGGAUGGUUUGGCACCUCGAUGUCGGCUCGUCGCAUCCUGGGGCUGGAGCAGGUCCCAAGGGUUCGGCUGUUCGCCGAUUAAAGCGGCACGCGAGCUGGGUUCAGAACGUCGUGAGACAGUUUGGUCUCUAUCCUCUGCGCUCGUUGGAAUCCUGAGGAGGCCUGCCCAUAGUACGAGAGGACCUGGGUGGACGAACCUCUGGUAUGCCGGUUGUCGCGCCAGCGGCACGGCCGGUUGGCUACGUUCGGGAGGGAUAACCGCUGAAAGCAUCUAAGCGGGAAGCCUGCUCCAAGAUUAGGAUUCCAUGGAUCUUCGAGAUCCUGUAGCCCGCAUGUUGAACACGUGUUUGAUAGGCCGGAGGUGGAAGCCCCGUGAGGGGUGGAGCCGACCGGUACUAACGGGCGACGGCGACAUAA